GAAACCAGGAGGAAGACAAAUCAGCCAGCUAGAACAGCAGCAAAGAACAGCCAGGAGAUGCCCCACACCAUUUAUGCCGCUGUGCAGCAUCCCAAACAGAAUCCUUUACAAACAGAUGAUGAGAAGAUACAGAAGGGACGGCGCAGCCACCAAAACCAGGGAGAGAGAACAAUUUAUUCAGAGAUCACCAAGGCUCAGGAGAGUGAAGACCCAAAGAGCUGCAAGACUAUCUAUGAAACAGUGCAAAGCACCCCGUAUAGGAAUCCUCUGGCCUGUAUUUAACACACACACACGCACACGCACAUACACACCCUUUGCAAAGCCAGCAAGAGAUGCCUUCCCCGCCACCAGACCUGGGGGACUGCCUGAGCCCCUUCUCCCAAAGGCAGCCUGGAGCACCUGCAGAAGACCUCCACGCAUGAGAGAGAGAGGGGGGAGAGGGAGGGAGGGAGGGAGGGAGGGAGAGAGAGAGAGAGAGAGAGAGAGAGAGAGAAGGAGAAGGAGAAGUGGAGAAGACAAGUCAUGGGCACCGUUUUACGGUGGUUCUCCUCCUAGCUCUCGAGUCGCACGCAAGUAGUGUUAGCAGCGGGGCAGAGAUUGGCCCUGAGGCCCCUCCUGUGCGGGGUCCCUCAGGGGUCGGUCCUCUCGC
rnacentral:lncRNA from 1 species